rnacentral:rRNA from 1 species
GUGGGGAAUUUUGGACAAUGGGCGAAAGCCUGACGCAGCCAUGCCGCGUGAAUGAUGAAGGUCUUAGGAUUGUAAAAUUCUUUCACCGGGGACGAUAAUGACGGUACCCGGAGAAGAAGCUCCGGCUAACUUCGUGCCAGCAGCCGCGGUAAUACGAAGGGGGCUAGCGUUGCUCGGAAUUACUGGGCGUAAAGGGAGCGUAGGCGGAUAGUUUAGUCAGAGGUGAAAGCCCAGGGCUCAACCUUGGAAUUGCCUUUGAUACUGGCUAUCUUGAGUAUGGAAGAGGUAUGUGGAACUCCGAGUGUAGAGGUGAAAUUCGUAGAUAUUCGGAAGAACACCAGUGGCGAAGGCGACAUACUGGUCCAUUACUGACGCUGAGGCUCGAAAGCGUGGGGAGCAAACAGGAUUAGAAACCCCGGUAGUCC